rnacentral:rRNA from 1 species
UUUGCAAGAAUAAAAAUAAUUCUUCUUCCCGAAAUUCAGUGAGCUGAUUAUUACUUGCUAAGAGCUAAGUAAUUAGUGUCGCAAUACUAUUAUAAAAGUAAUUAUCAGAGGCUACAUACCUCCCGCCCUGAAAAAUAGCUGGUUUUUCAAAUCACAGUUUAAACUGCUCUAGCUAAAUACUCGAUAUAUUUACAAUUAGCUACGAAAUAAAAUUAAGGACAAGCUUAAUUUUCUCCCUCAUUUCAUAUAAAUUUUACCCUACGUAAGCCUAAGACCAGCUAUCAUAACAUCACGUUAUAGUAUAUUUAUCUUAAUCCUAUUCCACAAUAAAUACCCCCUCCUUGAAAUAACCAUUAAACUAAUAAUGGUUUAACCUAUGCAAAGAUUACUAUUACUAAUAUCUGCCCAUAUGUGAAAAAGGAACUCGGCAACUCCCUAUUCCGACUGUUUAACAAAAACAUUGCCUAUAGAUUUACCUAUUAUAGGUACGCCCUGCCCAGUGUUAUUAUCAACGGCCGCGGUAUCCUGACCGUGCAAAGGUAGCAUAAUAAUUUGCCUUUUAAUUGAAGGCUAGUAUGAAUGGGUAAACGAGAAUAGCCCUGUCUCUUUCACAAAAAUAAAAUUUUAUCUUCAGGUGAAGAAGCCUGAAUUUAUAUAAAAGACAAGAAGACCCUGUCGAGCUUAAGUCAGCUCAAUAGCCCUAUUACUACACUACCUCCUAGUCCAUGAUUUUUGUUGGGGCGACAAUGGUACAAAUAAAACUACCAAUAAAGCAAAGACCCUAAGUCUUUCAAAAGAUCCCAAAAAGAUCAAAAGAUCAAGCUACCGCAGGGAUAACAGACUAAUCUUCCUCCGGAGCCCAAAUCUACAGGAAGGCUUGGCACCUCGAUGUUGGCUUAGGAAAUCCCUUAGAUGAAGCAGUCUAAGAAGUGGGUUUGUUCAACCCUUAAAAUCCUACAUGAG